rnacentral:lncRNA from 1 species
AGCAGGUUUGGAAUAUCCGAUUCUUCCACCCACCUGCCUCUACCAACUUUUAGAUCUAGCUCCUCUUGAGCACACUUCAAAGCAUGUUUAUUGUUUAAUAAUGCAGACAGAAGCCAUGUGGAGGUUGUAGACACAGUGUCAGUGCCUCCCACUAUGAGAAUCUGCAUAAGUUUAAAAUUGUAGAAAUUUGCCAAAAAAUGCAUAGAAUAGCUAAAAAAAACUGGAAGUCUUGAAAAAUAUUCAACAUUACUUGGAAAACUAACUUGUAGUCGAAUUCCACAAUUCUAUAUAAAGUAAGAAAAAAGAUAAAAGAAAAAUAUGACAUAUCAUUCUCAUUGAUUGAUGAUGAUGGAUAUUUAUAUACAAAUGUGUUUGAGUUUUAAUAUAAUUCAAAUUCUAUCUUCUAAUUUAAUUCAAAUUUUAUAUUAUAUUAUAGAUAAAUAUCAAUAUUUAAAAUAAGAAUAACAUUAACUUUCUCUCAUAUGCUCUGCAAGAUGGAGCUCAUUAACUUUCCCUAAUAUGCUAUACAAGAUGGAGCUCUGAUUAGAGAUUCCAAUUUUAGUCUUGAGAGAAAGAAAAUAGAUUACGAUGUAUUUGGUUUUUAUGGAUGGUGGUCUCCCUAUUUCUGUGCAAGGUAGUCUCCGUGGAUCUAGGGAGCAAGUAUAUUCGACUUGGUGGCUGAAAGAUUAGGUAAGAAUAGUGGGAUAUUCCUAAGUUGGAUUUCCAAAAACUUUGAGGAACUUGGAGAAAGAAAGCUUGUUGAAGGAAGAAAAGGACUAGGAGCCUUAUUUGACCAUGGAUGAAAAUUUCGGAAAAAAUCGUCAAUGAAAUUUCGUGUUUUGGCAAGGGAUGAUACAAAGAACAGGAAGAAAUAUCAGAAAAAAAACACGGAUUUUUUGGGCUAUCGUAAGUGCGAGACUCGAACCCAGAACCCAAAACCAGUGCAGACAACCUACUCACUAGUCACCAUAGGGCUAAUUUAUCUUUUCGUAUAUGAUGUGCACUAGAAAAAUAUAUACUAAAAUAGUGAUAAAAAAAUAAAAUAUUUUAAUAAACAAAUUAAUUCUAAUUACUUUAUUUUUAAAUUUAAUUUAAUUGACCAUUAAAAAUAAAAAAAUUUUAGUGAUAAUUUUCUUAACUUUUUUUUAUAUCAUUUAUAUAUUAAUUAAAUAUAAAAAAAUAUAAGUAUGAAAAAAAUAUAUAUAUCAUCAUUUAUUUUAUAUCAUUUAAUACAAUUGAAUUAAAUGGAUUAUAAUUUUAAUAUUAAAUAUAUUUUAUAAUUAGACAUAUUAUAAUCAAAUAUCACAAUAUUAUUAUGGAAUAAUAUUUGAAGUAAUUUAAUAAUAAAUGUACACUUAUAAAGCGUCUAUUAUAUUUCUAUGAGAUUUUUUUUUUUUUUUUUACAUUUUCAUGAGUUUUGAUCAAUUUAAGUUUAUCGAUAUUUUUUCUCAAAAUAUCCCCGAUAUAUCCAAUAUAUCAAGUAUCAAUAUAUCCAAUGUAUUUGACAUCAAACUAUAUAAUGUUUUAGAAGCUAAUGCAAUAGAUGAUAUAAGAGGUAAAUGAGAAGACAAUAUAAGGCAAAUCUCGAGUAGAGGCAAAGGAACAUGAGCAUGACUUUUUUCCCAAGACAAGUAAAAGAAUAAUCAAAUCUUUGAGAAAGCUUUUAGAGAAACAGAGAGAGGUAGAAUUGAAGGUAAUAAAGAAGUACAUAUUAAAUUAGGGAACCAAUACUAAUAGGAGGUAAAGGAAAAGAAAAUUCUAGUAGGUUUGAACCAGAAAAAUUUGGAGCUCUUGGUUGUAAAGAGGUAUUGAAAUCAAGAUAUUGCAUUGGAGAUAGCAAAGAAAGAGACAUUGAAACUAGGAUAUUAGAUUGGAAACCAUAAGGAAGGGGUUAUUGACAAUAGAUAGGCAUAACAAGAUCACUACCAUUUGUGGUAGGGAUAGGGGGAGACAUGUAGGGCCCAAGCCAUGCCAUGUAGAGAAAAAAAUAAAAUAGAGGAAAAUAUAACAUAUCAUUUUGAUUGAUGAUAAUGGAUAUUUAUAUGCAAAUACAUUUGAGUUAUAACAUAAUUCAAACUUUAUCUCAAAAUAAAUAAAUACCAAUAUUCUAUUCUAAUUCAAAUUAAUAACAAAUUUCUACCCUAAUUCAAAUUUUAUAUUCUAUUAUAAUUCAAACUAAUAUAUAAUAAAUAGAUAAAUACCAAUAUUUAAAUUAAGGAUAAUAUUAAUUUGGAUUAUCCCCAUGUCACUUGACUCAAACCAUGGAAAAGAGGGGCUAGAAACAAAUUCAAGGACCCCCAGGUUCAAUCUAUAGCGUACAUACCAUCCCAUGUUAUUCCAAUUAAGCAAACAACUUGGAAACACUAUUUUCAGUGAUAUAUAUAAUGACCAAAGAUGCAGAAUCGUCGGAUGGAAAACGUAUUCAUAUCAUUAUUUUGACGACCAUAAAUAAAAGGGACAAGAAAAUAAAAAAAGAUGAACCUCGUGUUAUUCACCUCCAUUUUGAAAGGGUUUUUAUAUAGAUUUUUUUUUGUUUACUCUUUCUUUUAUAUAGCCGUUACCAUGCAUAGGCUCAGUGAAUCCCACCCAGCAAUUCCUAUCUUGUGGCACAUGAGGAGAUGCCACUUAUAGACAACUAAAUAUUUUCCAUACCCCACCUCGCUCCAUGGCCCCAUCUUGAUAGAUGGGUUUUAGGAAAUGGUAUUGGGUUGAGGUCGAUUUUUGCAUCUUACUUUAAAGUAAAUUUGUGAAAAUUUAUUUAUUUGAUUUAAAUUAAAAUAAUUGAAAAUUUUAAUGAGAUGAGACAAUUGGGGCAAGCAUCUUUCCACCCUGUAACUUUUGAAUUAUUUGUAAGGGAUUUUAUUUUAUUUUUAUUUUUUAAAAAAAAUUUACUUUUAAAGUUGGUUGCAAAAUACACUUUCCAAGAAAGAAAAAGGCAGUACAUGGAUAGGAGAGGAGCAUACCAUUAUUGUUGCCUUGAUGACUGUUUCCCUGGAAUGGCCAAACAUGGAAGUAUCUUCAAGCACCGAUAGCAUCACAUCAAUGAAAUCCUGCCUCUUGUUGCCCUCGCUGUUGAGCCUCAUCUCAUGUUCUUCCACCCAACCUCCCACAAGAGAGUCCACUUCCUUCGCCACCUGCUUCAUCGACCCCAAAUACCCUUGUGAAUCCAUCCAUUCUACACCUGGAAUGGCAUCCGACAAAACAAAGGCCCCCGUUAGAAACAGGAGUUUCUGAAUUGUUGCUAUGGCCCGCCUUGCUUCCUCGUUUCCAUGGCCAGAAGUGUUGAAAUACCUCUUCCCUGCGAUCAUCUUUAGGACAAUAUUGAAGCUGAGGUGUUGAAACCAUUCACUCAUCACUACCUUUACUGGAUGGAACCAGUCGCUGCCUUUUCCAAGUGAGUAUAAAUCUUUAAUGGAAAGAUCCAAUUCCGAAAUCUGCACAUGCUUUAAUGCAUCGAGGCGACGGGCUGAGAGGAUUUCCAUCAUGGACAGCUUGCGCAUCUCACGCCAAAGGGCUCCAUAAGGGGCGAAACCAAAUCCAGCGUGGUUGUAUCCUAAGAUCUUUCCUGCACUGGAACUUGGGCGUGAGGCAAAGACCUUAUCAUUAGUGGUGAAGCAUUCUUUAACAGCCUCACGACUGCUCACCACAAGUGCGCGGUGCACGCCAAGGCGGAUCAUGAAGACGGGGCCAUGCUUAUCAGCCAUGGCUCCAAGGGUUCGGAAUAUUGGGGUUUGGCCUCGUAGUAUAGGAAGGUGGCCUAGAAAUGGCCAGGCACCAAAUGGCUCUGGGGCUGACCUGCCCUUGCUCUUCCCAGCAAGAAUCAUAACUCUCCAUACACCAUACAAUAAAACCAACCCCAGAAUUCCCGAGAUUGCUACUAACUGAGAAAGGGUAUCCAUGCUGGAUUGUCUGGGACUUUGCUGAUUCACUAACUGGUAGCUUCUACUUUCCACUAUCUUGCUCCCUCUAGACAUCUUUUUAUAUAUUUAAAUAUUGUUUAAUUAUUAAAUUCAUUAAUUUCAACGGGUACAGGUCAACCAUCCAUUAACUAUAAUAUGUCUAUGCACAAAGCCCAAUAAUUGAAUAUCAUAGUAUUGCAGCAUCGAACCGUGCGACCUAGGCGACUCGGCCGGUUCUGGUAGAACUGCUCCUCUUUCGCGCCCCACAAAUAAAUUAAAUACCUGAUAUUCACGUGGGGCUUUAGCCUUUUGGGAUAACAUUAAGGGUUGGCAAUUAUUAUUUUUGAAUGUAAGUUUGACAUUUUCAUGAAUGUUAUAAGACGUGGACUUUAAGUAGGUGCUUAUUUUAGAUAUACAUGUUUUAGGUACUUGAUUAUAGUUGGAUAUAUUUUGAAUGACAUACGUUUCAAGGGUGCUCAUUUUUGGAAACAUAAGUGCCCUCCGAAGCUCUAAGUCUUUAGCUUGUUGAAAAGACUUAGGGCUUAUUUCAUCAUUUAGAAUUAAUUGCGACCAAUGGUUUUUUAAUAUUGUUUUCAGAGUUUAAUCAUUAACAAAACAAAAAGUUGUUAAUGAUGGAACAACACAAAAGGUUUUCAAAACGUUUCUACAAGAACCGACUCCCCUUUCGCACCCCCAAAAUAACUUAAGUAUGUGAUAUUCAUAUGGGGCCGUAGCCUUUUGGGAUAAUGUUAAGGGUUGGUAAUUAUUUUAUUUAUUUUUUAAAUGUCAGUUUGACAUUUUCAUGCAUGUUAUAAGAUGUGGACCUUAAGUAGGUGCUUAUUUUAGACAAACAUGUUUUAGGUAUUUGAUUGUAACUGGAUGUAUUUUGAAUGACAUACGUUUCAAGGGUGCUCAUUUUUGGCAACGUUAGUACCCCUCGAAGCUUUGAGUCUUUUGCUUGUUGAAAAGACUUAGGGUUUGUUCCAUCAUUUCGAAUUAAUUGCGACCGAUGGUUUUUUAAUGUUGUUUUUGGAGUUUAAUCAUUAACAACACAAAAGGUUGUUAAUGAUGGAACAACACAAAAGGUUUUCGGAGCAGUUCUACUAGAAUCGACUCCCCUUUCGGGCCCCCAAAAUAAAUUAAAUACGUGAUUCACAUGGGGCUGUAGCCUUUUGGGAUAAUGUUAAGGGUUGGUAAUUAUUUUUUUUGAAUGUCAGUUUGACCUUUUCAUGUAUGUUAUAAGAUGUGGACAUUAAGUAAGUGCUUAUUUUAGACAAACAUGUUUUAGGUACUUGAUUAUAGCUGGAUGUAUUUUGAAUGACAUACGUUUUAGGGGUGCUCAUUUUUGGCAACGUUAGUGCCCCUCACAACUCUAAGUCUUUUACUUGUUGAAAAGACUUAGGGUUUGUUCCAUCAUUUCGAAUUAAUUGCGAUCAAUGGUAUUUUAAUGUUGUUUUCGGAGUUCAAUCAUUAAAACCACAAAAAGUUGUUAAUGAUGGAACAACACAAAAGGUUUUCAAAGCAGUGCUACCAAAACCGACUCCCCUUUCGAACACCAAAAUAAAUUAAGUACACGAUAUUCACAUGGGGUUGUAGCCUUUUGGGAUAAUAUUAAGGGUUGGUAAUUAUUAUUUUUGAAUGUCAGUUUGACCUUUUCAUUUAUGUUAUAAGAUGUGGACCUUAAGUAGGUGCUUAUUUUAGACAAACAUGUUUUAGGUACUUGAUUAUAACUGGAUGUAUUUUGAAAGACAUAUGUUUCGGGGGUGCUCAUUUUGGGAAACGUUAGUGCCCCUCACAGCUCUGAGUCUUUGCUUGUAGAAAAGACUUAGGGCUUAUUCCAUCAUAUCAAAUUAAUUGCGACCGAUGGUUUUUUAAUGUUGUUUUCGGACUUUAAUCAUUAACAAAACAAAAGGUUGUUAAUGAUGGAACAACACAAAAGCAUUUUGAAACGGUUUUACCAUAAUAGACUCCCCUUUCACGCCCCCAAAAUAAAUUAAAUAUGUGAUACUCACAUGGGACUAUAGCCUUUUAUGAUAAUGUUAAGGGUUGGUAAUUAUUUUUUUUUUGAAUUUCAGUUUGACCUUUUCUUGUAUGUUAUAAGAUGUGGACCUUAAGUAGGUGCUUAUUUUAGACAAACAUGUUUUAGGUACUUGAUUAUAGCUAGAUGUAUUUUGAAUGACAUACGUUUUGGGGGUACUCAUUUUUGGCAAUGUUAGUACCCCUUGCAACUCUAAGUCUUUUGCUUGUUGAAAAGACAUAAGGCUUGUUCUAUCAUUUCGAAUUAAUUGUGACCGAUGGUUUUUUAAAGUUUUUUUCGGAGUUUAAUCAUUAACUACACAAAAGGUUGUUAAUGAUGGAAUAACACAAAAGGUUUUUGGAGCGGUUCUACAAGAACCGACUCUCCUAUUGCGCCCCCAAAAUAAAUUAAAUAUGUGAUAUUCACAUAGGGGUGUAGCCCUUUGGGAUAAUGUUAAGGGUUGGUAAUUAUUUUUUUUUGAAUCUCAAUUUGACUUUUUUAUGUAUGUUAUAAGAUGUGGACCUUAAGUAGGUGCUUAGUUUAGACAAACAUGUUUUAGGUACUUGAUUAUAGUUGGAUGUAUUUUGAAUGACGUACCUUUCAGUGGUGCUCAUUUUUGGCAACAUUAGUGUCCCUUGCAACUCUGAGUCUUUUUCUUGUUGAAAAUACUUAGGGCUUAUUCCAUCAUUUCAAAUUAAUUGCAACUGAUGGUUUUUAAAUGUUGUUUUCGGAGAUUAAUUGUUAACAACACAAAAGGUUGUUAAUGAUAGAACAACACAAAAGGUUUUCGGAGCGAUUCUACCAGAACCGACUCCCUUUUCGCGCCUCCAAAAUAAAUUAAAUAUGUGAUAUUCACAUGGGGUUGUAGCCUUUUGGGAUAAUGUUAAGGGUUCGCAAUUUUUUUUUUUUGAAUGUCAAUUUGACCUUUUCAUGUAUGUUAUAAGAUGUGGACCUUAAGUAGGUGCUUAUUUUAGACAAACAUGUUUUAGGUACUUGAUUAUAGUUGGAUGUAUUUUGAAUGACAUACGUUUCAGGGGUGCUCAUUUUUGGAAACGUUAGUGUCCCUCGCAACUCUGAGUCUUUUGCUUGUAGAAAAGACUUAGGGCUUAUUCCAUCAUUUCAAAUUAAUUGCGAUUGAUGGUUUUUUAAUGUUGUUUUUCGACUUUAAUCAUUAAUAAAACAAAAGGUUGUUAAUGAUGGAACAACACAAAAGGUUUUUGGAGCAAUUCUACCAGAACCGACUCCCCUUUCGCGCCCCCAAAAUAGAUUAAAUACGUGAUAUUCACAUGGGGUAUUAGCCUUUUGGGAUAAUGUUAAGGGUUGGUAAUUAUUUUUUUUGAAUGUCAGUUUGACCUUUUCAUGUAGUUAUAAGAUGUGGACCUUAAUUAGGUGCUUAUUUUAGACAAACUUAUUUUAGGUACUUGAUUAUAGUUGGAUGUAUUUUGAAUGACAUACGUUUUGGGGGUGCUCAUUUUUGGCAACGUUAGUACCCCUCGUAGCUUUGAGUCUUGCUUUUUGAAAAGACUUAGGGUUUUUUCCAUCGUUUCGAAUUAAUUGUGAUCGAUGGUUUUUUAUGGUUGUUUUCGGAGUUUAAUCAUUAACAAUACAAAAAGUUGUUAAUGAUGGAAUAACACAAAAUGUUUUCAGAGCGGUUCUACCAUAACCGACUCCCCUUUCACGCCCCCAAAAUAAAUAAAAUAUGUGAUAUUCACAUGAGGUGUAGCCUUUUAGGAUAAUGUUAAGGGUUGGUAAUUAUUUUUUUAUAAUGUCGAUUUGACCUUGUCAUGUAUGUUAUAAGAUGUGGACCUUAAGUAGGUACUUAUUUUAAACAAACAUGUUUUAGGUACUUGAUUAUAGUUGGAAAUAUUUUGAAUGACAUACGUUUCGGGGGUGCUCAUUUUUGGCAACGUUAGUGCCCCUCAUAGCUCUCAGUCUUUUACUUGUUUAAAAGACUUAGGGUUUGUUCCAUCAUUUCGGAUUAAUUGCGACCGAUGGUUUUUUAAUGUUGUUUUUGGAGUUUAAUUAUUAACAACACAAAAGGUUGUCAAUGAUGGAACAACGCUAAAGGAAACGUGUUCAUAUUUUUUAUGUUUUCUUUUUAUGAGUAUAAAUAAAAAAAGGAAGAAAAUAAUAAAAGAUGAACCAUCGUUUCAUUCACCUAUAUUUUGAGGAUAGUUUUUGUACGUCUCUCUGCUUAAUGUUCAGUGAAUCCCUCCCAGCACUUCAUGUCUUAAGAAAGAAAAAAAGACAAAAGGGUAAAGAAAUAAGGUAUUAGAGGCUCAUGAGGACAUGCCACGUGUAGGGUGGUUGAUAGCUAAAUAUUUCCAACAGCCUGCCUUGUCAUUGGGUUUUGGGCAAGAAUGAAAAUAUCUUAUUUAAAUUUUACUAGUAUUUAAAAUUAAUUUCAAUUUAUUACAAAAUCUAGAUCUCAUUAAGCAGGUUUUUAGUAAAAUUUAAUAUUUAUUAUUUUAGGAUUUAAGUUGACAUUAAAUUAUAUUAUUCUUAAAUUAUUAACUUAAAAUUUAUUAUUUAUUUUUUACUCUUAAGUAUUAUGAUUAUUUGUUAAAAUUAUUUUUAAGUUAAUAAAUUGAUAUAUUUACCUUUUUUUAGUUGUAAUAAAUAUUUAUCGUCAUUAAUUUUAAUUAUUAUUUAUUUUUAUUAAUUUUAAAUAAUAAAUUUACUUAUUAAACAUUCAUAUUUUUAGUAUUAUGGAUGUAUAAGCUAAUCUUAAAAAUAUUUCCAAUAAAAAAUAAAUAUGGAAGUAGAGUCAUAGUUUUAAAUAUCUCCAAAAAAAAAAAAGAAUCGUGAUGUAAAGUGAUGGCACUUAAAUAUGUCAUUAGAUGUAGAUAACUGAAAUAAAAAAUAUUUAAAAUUAAAAAUAAAUUAAUUAUUUUGACUUAAUACUUAAAAUUAUUUUAAAUUUUAAAUUGUGAUAUUAAGUUAUCAUAUCCAACAUACUUAAUUUAAUUAAUAACUUAAAUCAAGUGAUUAACUCAAUUUAAGUCAUUAAUGUAACUUAUUGUUAUAUAUAUAUAUAUAUAACUUUCUACAUAUUUUUCCAUCUAUCUUUAUGCAGCAGCCAACCCUAAUAGAAUUGAGAAGGAAGGCGUGGGGUGAGCAUGACUUCCAGAGGAGUCAGCUUAGCCAAGGUAAUACUCAGACCUUCUCUCAUGUCCACCGGAGCGUUCAAUGGUGUUGACAAGUCAGACCCUUGAAGCAGCCGACCAAUCACCAAGGGUAACAAUUUUAAGGCCAUGGUGAUCCUGGGCAAGAUCUUCUACCAGAACCAAAUGGGAUGAGCUCAAAAUGCUGCCCCAAAACAUCUAAAUUUGCAUGGCUUGUCAGAAACCUCUCCAGUUGGAAAUCUUCAGGGUCGGACCAGACACUGGGGUCACGGUGCAACUUCCACGCAUUCACGAACAAGCGGGUGCCUUUUGGAAUGUGGUAGCCAGCAACAUGACAGUCUUCCAUGGCUUCGUGUGGCACAGAUAGAAGAACUGCUGUGUAUAGCCUCAGGGUUUCCUUGAUAACGGCUUGGAGGCUGUAGACACAGAGUCAGUGCCUCCCACCAUGAGAGUCUGCAUAAGUUUAAAAUUGUAGAAAUUUACCAAAAAAUUGAAGCCAUGACCCAAAUGCAUAAAAUACCAAAAAAAAAAAAAAAAAAAACAUUGAAAGUCUUGAAAAAUAUUCAACAUAGCUUGCAAAACUAACUUCUUGUCAAAUUCCACAAUUAUAUAUAGAAAAAAAAGAAAAAAGAAAAAUAUGACAUCAUUCUCAUUGAUUGAUGAUGAUGGAUAUUUAUAUACAAAUGUGUUUGAGUUCUACUAUAAUUCAAAUUCUAUCUAGCUUCUACUCUAAUUCAAAUUCUAUAUUCUAUUCUAGAUAAAUACCAAUAUUUAAAUUAAGGGUAACAUUAACUUUUUCUAAUAUGCUCUGCAAGAUGGAGCUCAUUAACUUUCCCUAAUAUGCUCUACAAGAUGGAGCUCCGAUUAGAGAUUCCAAUUUUAGUCUUAAGAGAAAGAAAAUAGAGAUUCUAAUUUUGGUUUUGAAAGAAAGAAAAUAGAUUACGAUGUAUUUGGUUUUUAUGGAUGGUGGUCUCCUUAUUUCUGUGCAAGGUAGUCUCCCUGGAUCUAGGGAGUAAGUAGAUUCGACUUGGUGGCUGAAAGAUUAGGUAAGAGUAGUGGGAUAUUCCUAAGUUGGAUUUCCAAAAACUUUGAGGAACUUGGAGAAAGAAAGUUUGUUGAAGGAAGAAUAGGAUUAUGAGCCUUAUUUGACCAUGGAUGAAAGUUUCGGAAAAAAUCGCCGAAAUCGAUGAAAAUCACCGAGAUAUCAGUUAUGGCCAAUUAAUCGACAACUUUUUAAUAAAAUAGCCCAAGACGGAUUUUUUGGGUUACCGUAAGUGCAAGACUCGAACCUAGAACCCAAAACUAGUGCACACAACCUACUCACUAGACACCAUUGGGCUAAUUCAUCUUUUAGUAUAUGAUGUACAUUAGAAGAAUAUAUACUAUGAUAGUGAUAAAAACAAAAUAUUUUAAUAAAUAAAUUAAUUCUAAUUAUUUUAUUUUUAAAUUUAAUUUAAUUGACAAUUAAAAAUAUAAAAUUAUAGUGAUAAUUUUCUUAACUUUUUUUAUAUCAUUUAUAUAUUAAUUAAAUAUAAAAAAUAUAAAUAUGAAAAAAAAUUAUACAUAUAUCAUCAUUUAUUUUAUAUCAUUUAAUACAAUUGAAUUAAAUGGAUCAUAAUUUUAAUAUUAAAUAUAUUUUAAAAUUAGACAUAUCAUAAUUAAAUAUCACAAUAUUAUUGUGGAAUAAUAUUUGAUGUAAUUUAAUGAUAAAUGUACACUUAUAAAAUUCAUAUUUGUUUUAUUGAUAUAUACAAUAUUGUUAUCAAAUAUGAUAAAUUUAUAUAUAUAUAUAUAUAUAUAUAUAUAUAUAUAUAUAUAUAUAUAUAUAUAUAUAUACAAAUUUAAAGUGUCUAUUAUAUUUCUAAUUACAUUUCUAUAAGAUUUUUUAUUUUUUUUUAACAUUUUCAUGAGUUUUGAUCAAUUUUAAAUUUAUCAAUAUUUUUUAUAUCUAAUAUAUCCCCGAUAUAUCGGAUAUGCCAAGCCCGAUAUAUAUAAAAAAUAUCCGCUAAUAUAUAUGUAAAAUCAAAGUACUGAUAUUUUCAUCAAUGUAUUUGACAUCAAACUAUUUAAUGUUUUAGAAGCUAAUGCAAUAGAUGAUAUAAGAGGUAAAUGAGAAGACAAUAUAAGGCAAAUCUCAAGUAGAGGCAAAGGAACAUGAGCAUGUCAGUUUUCCCAAGAGAUGUAAAAAAAUAAUCAAAUCUUUGACAACUUUUGGAGAAACAAAGAGAGGUAGAAUUGAAGGUAAUAAAGAAGUACAUAUUAAAUUAGGGGAACCAAUACUAAUAGGAAGCAAAGGAAAAGAAAAUUAUGGUAGGUUUGAACAAGGAAAAUUUGGAGCUCUUGGUUGUAAAGAUGUAUUGAAAUCAAGAUAUUGCAUUGGAGACAGUAAAAAAAGAGACAUUGAGGUUAUGUUUGGUUUCCAGAAAAUACUAAGGAAAAAAAAAAUGUAAAGGAAAAUGAUUUUUUCAUGUUUGAUUGUCCUAUAAAAAUAUCAAAGAAAAUCAAAUAUAAUUAAAAAGUAAUUAAAAACUCAUGUAUUUUUAAAUUAUUUAAUCUUUAUAUUAAUGAGUUAAAAUAAAUAAAAUGAGUUUGAAGUAACAAAAAAAAUAAUUAAUCAACUUUUAAUCUAUUUUUUUAUUUUCCUUCAUUUUUUCUUUCCUUCUACUUUUUCUUUCUAUUUUCUUUCCCUUGCAUUUUUCUUCAAAUUUUCUGGCAACCAAACAUAGCCUGAAACUAGGAUAUUACAUUGGAGACCAUAAGGAAGGGGUUAUUGACAAUAGAUAGGCAUAACAAGGUCACUACCAUUUGGUAGGGAUAGGGGGAGACGUGCAAGGCCUAAGCCAUGCCAUGUAGAGAAAAAAAAAUAAAAAAUGUAACAUAUUAUUUUCAUUGAUGAUAAUGGAUAUUUAUACCCAAAUACAUUUGAGUUAUAACAUAAUUCAAACUUUAUCUCAAAAUAGAUAAAUACCAAUAUUCUAUUCUAAUUUAAAUUCAAAACAAAUUUCUACUCUAAUUCAAAUUUUAUAUUCUAUUUUAAUUUAAAUUAUAUAUUCUAUUCUAAUUCAAAUUGAUAUAUAAUAAAUAGAUAAAUACCAAUAUUUAAAUUAAGGAUAACAUUAAUUUGGAUUGUCCCCAUGUCACUUGACUCAAACAAUGGAAAAGAGGGGCUAGAAACAAAUUCAGGGACCCCUAGGUUCAAUCUAUAGUGUACAUACCAUGCCAUGUUAUUCCACCACAAUCUCAAUCCAAUUAAGCAAACAACUUAGAAACACUAUUUUUAGUGAUAGAUAUAAUGACCAAAGAGGCAGAGUCGUCGGAUGGAAAACGUAUUCAUAUCAUUAUUUUGACGACUAUAAACAAAAGGGAGGAGAAUAAAUAAAGAUGAACCUCGUGUUAUCUUCCUCCCUCUAGACAUCUUUUUAUUUAUUUAAAUAUUGUUUAAUUAUUAAAUUCAUUAAUUUCAACCGGAACAGGUCAACCAUAUCUAUGCACAAAGCCAAAUAAUUGAAUAGCAUAGUAUGGCAACAUCGAACCGUGCGAACCAGGCGACUCUACCAUUCCCCUUUCGUGCUCCAAAAAUAAAUUAAAUAUGUGAUAUUCACAUGAAGUUAUAGCCUUUUGGGAUAAUGUUAAGGGUUGGUGAUUUUUAUUUUUUUUUAAUGUCGAUCGGUUUGACCUUUUCAAGUAUGUUAUAAGAUGUGAAUCUUAAGUAGGUACUUAUUUUAGACAAACAUGUUUUAGGUACUUGAUUAUAACUGGAUGUAUUUUGAAUGACAUACAUUUCGGAGGUGCUCAUUUUUGGAAACGUUAGUGCCCUUCACUGUAAACCUUCCAUUUUGUCUUUUUAGCACAUGUGACACUAGGUGUUUUUCUAUGUCUCUUUUGACUUGUUGUCAACCCUUGGUGGCCUAUUGACAUUCAUACAGUUUACUUCUUCUGAGCUACUUUUUUGGAACCCUUUGUUGAGGGUUUAUUUGGACUCUCACUAUGACUUUGGCAGCCUCAAGUUACAUUUAAGUUUUUCUUUUUUCCUUUUAGGUUAACUCAUUUAGGUACCCGUUUAGGCUGACUUAGACACAUUUGGCCCAUUAGACAUGCUUAACCCAUUUAGGCAUGCCUGACCUAUUUAGGUACACCUAGUUCUUUAGGGCUUGCUCCAAGACCCUUAAGUCAUUUGCAUGACUUACAUGGCUUACGUGACUUGCAUGAAUAUACAUCACGUACUUAUAUUUAUUUAUCUUUUUAUUGAUUUAUUUAUUGAUGGAUUCAUUUCGUAUUCACCUUUUAUAUAUGGUCAUUGUAUAUUUUUGUUAUUAUUAUUUUUAUUAUUAUCUUUAUUAUUCUUACCAUUAAAUUUUAUUUUUGAUUAUUUUAUCAUCAUUAUUAUUAUUAUCAUUAUUAUUUUAUUAUUAUUAUGAUCAUUAUCAUCAUCAUUAUUAUUAUUAUUAUUAUUAUUAUUAUUAUUAUUAUUAUUAUGUUUUUAUGUUUUUAUUUUAUUUUAUUUUAUUUUUAUUUAUUUUUUUUAAACGUUUAUUUAAUUUUAUUUACUUAAAAAAAAUAAAAGACUCGGUGGACUGCAUGAGAAAGAAGGGUUUUUGUGAUGGUAAAAAUGAGGUUUUGAAAAGAGGGGAGACCAAGUUUCCGAGGGGUUUCUCUGGAUGGGGAAGAGAUGGAGGCUAUUUCAGGGUGAGGAGUCUUGAGAGAGAAGGCAAGAAAUCGGCAUAGUAGAGGAGGUUUUCAACAGUGAGGAGUCUUGAGAGAAAAGCAAAGAAGAGGGGAGACGUUUUGAGGGAAGGGGUUUUCAGUAAGAAAGAUUGAGAGGUUUUGUUAAAAAAAAAAAAGGAACGAAGCAAGAGGAGGGAAAAAAAAAACAGAGGAGGUUUUCAACAGUAGGGAGUCUUGAGAGAAAAGCAAAGAAGAGGGGAGACGUUUUGAGGAGGGGGGAGAAGAGGUUUUCAGCAAGAAAGAUUGAGAGGUUCUGCUAAAAAAAAAAAAAAAAGAACGGAGCAAGAAGAGGGAGAGAAAAACAGAGAGAGGUUCUGAUUUUUUUAGUAGAGGGAAAACAAAGUAGGAAAGGAAGAGAAGGAAAUGAAAGGCUUUGAGAAAGAAACGAAAAGAAGAAAGGAGAGAAUCUUCGGGGAUUUUCAGAAAAGGAGAGGUCUCCAUUGAGCAGUAGAGAAGAAGAUCAGUUAUCCCCUAUCCAUCUGAUCACUUCCAUCAAACACCGGUUUUAGCUAGAUUAUCUUCCUACUCCCACAGGAGAAUUAGGAUUCUGUUGAUGACACAUCCCUCUUUUCUGCAACCAGAGAUCUUGGACUUCUGGAGGUUUUCAGAUCUGGAUGAGGGUGUCAUGCCCAUUAGCAGCUCCUUUUUUGGAAGGGGAUAUAGUCACUUGAAGCCGGGCUGAUCUUGUUGAAUGGGAGCACUCUCAGUUUUUGUUAAAGAAUGGAUGUAUGAUAGUGCAAAGCAGUUUGGUGGUGCAAUCAGAAAGCUUGCAUGAUUGUGGUCUUAUUCUUGAUGAUUUCCCCACAUCAAGAAUGUUGAUACAGAGUGGUGCCUAUCAGUUGUUCUUCAUUGAUUUUGAAUUAAGCUUCAUGUCAAUCUUUCCAGUAGAUAAAGUCGAUGUCUUAUAUGUGCUUGAGUGGCCCUUGCUCUUAGUGCAUUCUUCCUAUGAGAAUGUUUGAAUUUGGGUCCAGCAAGUCAUCCAUUUGUAGCUAGUGUGUGGAAAUGCAUUAGGGAGUUGGUUAUCAAAAUCCAACUUGAUAUUAUAGUCAAUAGAAGGGGGCUCCUGUAUUUAGGCCACCGCCAAUGGAAGGGAGAGCAUUCAUAGAAAGGCUUCUGUCCAAUAGAACCCUCUUUAGAAAUCUGUGAUGCGCCAUUGCUCACUACAUCCCCUUUAUCAAGUCCAUGAGCUAUGAGAGGAGGGAUAGCAAAAAGCUUUGCUGAUGACCCAACUACAGUCAAAGGCGUAAAUACUAAAUGAAACUAUUGUCUCCUGGGUAUGGGAAAGACAAUUCAGGCUGCGGCAUUGAUGUUUUCCAAACAGGAAAUCUCCUAGAAAAUUUGUGAAUCAAAAGAAGUCUUGCAUUGCCUUUGAGAAAUGAGAUUGCCUGCUUAUUGUAGGGACCCCUCCCCUUGAGAAACACGUGGCACGCAGUUCAUGGUGACGCGUGGCACAUAUUAUCAUCCGGACCAUCAUCAUCCGGAUUCCCCUAAAGGUAUGCAUGGUGCAGUUAUCCUAUCCGGACCACCUCAAGGAAAGCCAAGCCCUAUCCAAGGAAGAGCAAACGACGCAGGCAGAGCGUAGACAUCCGGAUGGUCUCCACAACACAUCCGGAUGAUCAGCAUGAGCCAUCCGGAUAUAAAUCGUCUGGAUGGUCAAUUAAAGUAAAGCGAGUCUUACACGCAAUCACAACAAGCAGCCAUGACCCACAUCCCAUCACCUGCAGAGUGAGAAGACAAGGGGAAGUGACAGCAAGUCACUUCCCACGAUCAUUCUACAUAAUCACUGCCCACGAUCUCUGACAGCCGCAUCACCUACCAUGGUUUCUGACGGUCGUUCGUAGGGCGAUAAUGCUCCUACUAACACCUAUUGUCAUCAUCACAACAUAAAAUAUCUCCUCACCAUUAAUGAGAGGAACAGUACCCCUGAAGCUGUAUAUAUAUACCUUCGCACGAAGAAGAAAGGGAUCCCCUGGUAACCUCUUGAUACCUAGUAAAAGGCCAACUGAUUUAUAUAUCUCUCUCUCACCAUGGCUAACAAAACCAUCGGAGGGUGCGUCCGGACACCCUGUCCGGAUGCCUUUUGCAGGUGCAACCAUUGAAUCAAGAACCCCUUGUGUGUUGAGAAUCACGUGUCCAUCCAUAUAGCAGCAACGUGGACCACCGGAUACGCGAGGCGACAACAUUGGCGCCGUCUGUGGGAAAACUUUUACUUUUCAUUCUGAUUCAGUCACUAGCAAAGAUGGCCACACCUUCCCAAAGUCGAUCAUCUGGUAGAGAGGAGGAAGAUAAUCACGAAUGGCGUCAAGCCAUCGAAAAAAGACAGUUGGCGAGCGAAAAACAGCUAAGAGCUCUCCUCCAGGAGACGGAGAGGUUAAGGGAAGAAAACGCUGUGUUACGCAUUCAAGCCUCAACAUCAGGACCUCCUCGUCGUCAGCGCUCAAAAGGCCAGGUGGCAAACUCAAGGCCAGAGCCAGAAUCAAUAUAUCCUGGGUCAACAGGAGCUGUCCCAGGAACAUACAACGCAAGGCCCCAUGAGCCACGCACACCCAUGCCUCGAGCUCCCCGUGAGGAAAGCUCAGAUUCCACUCAUUUUUCAGCAAAAAGACAACGUGAUAGAAAAUCACAGUUGUCAAGUUCUAUGCGCGCAAGACUAGGCCCACAAGAGCCUGGGAGAUCAAGGCCACCAGUAGCCACAACCCGGGCGCCACGCCCCGAUCCUAUGAUCGCUCCCAUGGUGCAGAACGUACCUCCGCAUCGUGACCCCAUGGUCACCCCAGCGAUGCGGAACGUUCACUCACACCUAGCGGAACGACCGGCUGGGAAAAACCUCCCAAACGAGCCACCCAUUAGCUCAAUCAGCAAAAGGCUGGAUGACAUGCUCUCCACGCCCUUUUGCUCUCAUAUCACCCAUUACGAACCCCCAAGGGGAUUCCUCGUACCAAAGUUUUCCACAUAUGAUGGGACCAACGACCCCUUCGAUCACAUCAUGCACUAUCGACAGCUUAUGACGCUCGAUAUUGGCAACGAUGCAUUGUUAUGCAAAGUAUUCCCCGCCAGCCUUCAAGGGCAGGCCCUCUCAUGGUUUCAUCGCCUACCUCCUAACUCUAUUGACAAUUUCAGGGACCUCUCUGAAGCAUUCGUGGGACAGUACUUGUGCUCUGCUCGACACAAGCAGAAUAUCAGCACCCUCCAGAACAUAAAAAUGAGAGACAACGAAUCCUUGAGGGAAUUUGUGAAACGAUUUGGCCAAGCCGUACUCCAAAUAGAGGUUUGCAGCAUGCUGUCCUACAGAUCUUCAAAAGAAGCAUCUGUCCAGGCACCCCAUUUUUCGAAUCGCUGGCAAAAAAACCUCCUACAACGAUGGACGAUUUGUUCAGACGUGCUAACAAAUAUUCAAUGCUCGAAGAUGACGUACGUGCAGCCACUCAGCAAGUUUUGGUCGCCGGACGGGCUUCUAGAGAUAACGCGGACAGACAUGCCAAACCUCCGGACCGGCCAAAACCAGUUGACCGGAGGCAGGACGGGCCGAGUCGUCCGGAUAGGCCGCCCAUCACACCCCUAUCCAUAUCAUACGAAAAGCUUCUCCCAAUGAUCCAAGGCUUGUCCGACUUCAGGUGGCCUAGACUCCUCGAAACGGACCCAUCUAUAAGAGACCGCAGCAAGAAAUGCGCCUUCCACAAAGACCAUGGUCAUACAACGGAUACAUGUCGGUCCCUCCAGUAUCUAGUUGAAAGGCUCAUCAAAGCAGGACAUUUAAAACAGUACCUCCGCUCAGAUACUGGAGGAAGGGACGUAUCUCAGCAUCAUAACUCUGGGGCCCCGAGGGCCCCAGUCGCCCCCAAGGCUGUCAUAAACUAUAUCAAUGGGGGCCCGUCUGACGAGGAAUACGAUUCCAGGCGUAAAAGGCAGAAAUUGCUGCGGGCCGCGUCAAUACGCGAACGCAUUAAUUCCAUCCGGCCGGGUCUUACUGGAGAGGCCCUCGUCCCAUAGAUGGGACAAUCAUUUUCCCACCAGUAGAUCCCACCCGGACGCUACAGCCACAUCGCGACGCCCUCAUCCUCUCCCUAGAAAUAGGAGAUUUCGAUGUAAGGCGUAUCUUGGUUGACCCAGGCAGUUCAGCCGAUCUGGUACAAGCAUCAGUCAUUGGCCAUAUGGGACAUAGUCUCGCGGGUCUCGAAAACCCCGGACGAAUCUUAUCCGGAUUCAACGGAUCAUCAACCACGUCCUUAGGAGACAUUAUACUGCCGGUCCAAGCUGGCCCAGUCACUCUCAACGUGCAAUUCUCAGUGGUACAAGAGUUAUCACCCUUCAAUGUCAUCUUGGGACGCACAUGGCUUCACUACAUGAAAGCCAUCCCGUCCACAUAUCAUCAAAUGGUGAGUUUCCUCACCGACGAAGGGCAAACUGACUUGUAUGGCAGCCAGUUAGCCGCUCGUCAGUGCUAUCAAAUAGCACGUGAGGCAGUCGCUAACCAGGAGGAUGCAUCUCCCCCUGAGCCUAGCAUUGCACACGACCAAUAGCAAUUAUUGGGUCCGGCGGACAAAGAUCCCCCGGCAGCGGAUCCCUUACAAACAAUCCAAAUCUCAGAAGAGAAUGAUCACCUCACGAAUAUCAGUUCCCUCAUGACGCAAGAAGAAACUCAGAGCAUACAAAAUAUCCUUCGAAGCAACCAUGACAUCUUCGCAUGGACACAUUCGGAUAUGAAAGGAAUUCAUCCCUCUAUUGCCUCUCACAAGCUUAACGUCUUUCCAGCAGCCAGACCCAUUCGACAGAAGAUUAGACGCUUUCAUCCGGAUAGACAAAAAGUUAUCCGAAAUGAAGUUGACAAAUUGCUGGAAGCCGGAUUCAUCAGAGAAGUAUCUUAUCCGGAUUGGUUGGCAAAUGUAGUGGUGGUACCAAAGAAAGAGGGCAAAUGGCGAGUCUGUGUUGAUUACACCAAUCUCAAUAACGCAUGUCCAAAAGACAGUUUUCCAUUACCACGAAUAGAUCAAAUUAUGGAUUCCACUUCCGGGCAAGGGAUGCUCUCUUUCUUGGAUGCCUUCUCCGGAUAUCACCAGAUUCCCAUGUCUCCGGAUGACGAAGAAAAGACAGCAUUCAUAACACCACACGGCCUCUAUUGCUAUAAAGUCAUGCCAUUCGGACUCAAAAAUGCUGGCGCCACUUAUCAAAGAUUGAUGACCAAAAUCUUCAAACCUCUGAUAGGCCACUCAGUAGAGGUAUAUAUUGACGAUAUCGUGGUUAAAAGAAAAACUCGAGAACAGCAUAUCCUUCAUUUGCAAGAAGUUUUUCACCUCUUACGAAGGUAUGGCAUGAAGCUAAAUCCUUCUAAAUGCGCCUUUGGCGUAAGUGCUGGCAAAUUUCUAGGAUUUAUGGUCAGCCAAAGGGGCAUAGAAAUCAGCCCGGAUCAAGUCAAGGCAGUUAUGGAAACACCUCCUCCCAGGAACAAGAAGGAGAUACAACGUCUCACAGGCAAGCUCGUUGCGUUAGGACGUUUCAUAGCACGCUUUACCGAUGAGUUGCGACCCUUCUUCUUGGCAAUACGAAAAGCUGGAGCACAUGGGUGGACGGACAGUUGCCAAAGCGCUUUGGAAAGGAUUAAGCAUUGUCUUAUGCAACCACCCAUCUUGAGCAGCCCCAUCCCAAAAGAGAAACUAUACAUGUAUCUGGCAGUCUCAGAAUGGGCAAUCAGCGCCGUCCUAUUCCGCUGCCCUUCACCAAAGGAGCAGAAACCUGUCUACUAUGUCAGCAGGGCAUUGGCAGAUGUAGAAACCAGGUAUUCAAAAAUGGAGCUAACAGCCUUAGCUCUUCGAAGUGCUGCCCAAAAGCUCCGCCCCUAUUUUCAAGCCCACCCAGUGAUUGUACUAACCGACCAACCCCUUCGUAGCAUUCUGCACAAACCAGAUUUAACGGGGCGAAUGCUACAAUGGGCCAUCGAAUUGAGCGAAUUUGGAAUCGAAUUCCAACCCAGAUUAUCCAAAAAAGGCCAAGUAAUGGCCGACUUCGUGCUCGAAUAUUCACGAAGACCCAACCAGCACCACGAGUCAAGUGAACAGGAGUGGUGGACACUACGAGUUGACGGAGCCUCACGCUCAUCGGGCUCUGGAGUUGGGCUCUUACUACAGUCCCCAACUGGGGAACACCUGGAGCAAGCCAUCCGGCUGGGAUUCUCCGCGUCUAACAAUGAAGCAGAAUACGAGGCCAUCCUGUCCGGAUUGGACCUCGCCCUUGCGCUAUCCGUCUCCAAACUUCGGAUCUACAGCGACUCGCAGCUAGUGGUGAGGCAUGUCCAGAAAGAAUAUGAGGCUAAGGACUCACGCAUGGCGCGAUACUUGGCCAAAGUAAGAAGCACCUUACAGCAAUUCACCGAGUGGACAAUCGAAAAAAUUAGGCGAGCUGACAAUAGGCACGCUGACGCUUUGGCCGGCAUAGCUGCCUCCCUCCCUAUCAAAGAAGCCAUUCUACUGCCCAUACAUGUGCAAGCCAAUCCCUCUGUCACAGAAGAUUCCACUUGCAACACCAUUGAGGCAAACCAAACGGAUCAUCAAGAAUGGACGCAUGAUAUUGCAGAAUAUCUCCGGACAGGCACUUUACCUGAAGAUCCUAAACAAGCGCACAAAAUCCGGGUGCAAGCUGCCCGUUUCACCCUGAUCGGGGGGCACCUAUACAAGCGAUCCUUCACAGGACCUUAUCUUCGCUGUCUUGGGCAUUCAGAGGCCCAGUAUGUGCUAGCUGAAUUACAUGAAGGAAUAUGCGGAAAUCAUACGGGAGGACGAUCCCUAGCACAUAGAGCUCAUUCACAAGGGUACUAUUGGCCAACAAUGAAGAAAGACGCGGCAGCAUAUGUCCAAAAGUGCGAUAAAUGUCAAAGAUACGCUCCCAUUCCACGCAUGCCAUCAGCCGCAUUAAAAUCGGUCUCAGGCCCAUGGCCUUUCGCGCAAUGGGGCAUGGACAUUGUGGGACCCCUCCCAGCAGCACCUGCCCAGAAGAAAUUCCUCCUUAUCGCCACUGAUUACUUCAGUAAAUGGGUAGAAGCUGAAGCAUAUGCAAGCAUCAAAGAUAAAGAUGUCACCAAAUUCGUAUGGAAGAACAUUGUUUGCCGCUUUGGAAUUCCCCAAAUCAUCAUAGCUGACAAUGGUCCACAAUUUGACAGUAUUGCAUUCAGGAAUUUCUGUUCGGAAUUGAAUAUCCGGAAUUCAUACUCCACGCCACGUUAUCCUCAAAGCAAUGGCCAGGCGGAAGCCACAAACAAAACUCUAAUCAAUGCCUUAAAGAAAAGGCUGGAGCAAGCCAAAGGGAAGUGGGUGGAGGAACUACCCGGCGUCCUGUGGGCCUAUCGAACCACACCCGGACGGCCGACAGGAAACACUCCUUUCGCCCUCACAUAUGGAAUGGACGCAGUCAUUCCCACUGAAAUAGGCCUUCUUACUACCCGGACCGAUGCAGCAAAACAAGAAGCUGUCAACACGGAACUAGGAAGAAAUUUGGACUGGGCAGACGAAGUCAGAGAAAGCGCGGCCAUCCGGAUGGCAGAUUAUCAACAAAGGGCAUCGGCGCAUUACAAUCGAAAAGUCAAGCCCAGAAACUUCAAAAAUGGUACGCUAGUACUUAGAAAAGUUUUUGAAAAUACUGCUGAAGUAGGCGCGGGAAAGUUCCAAGCCAAUUGGGAAGGACCCUACAUAGUGUCUAAGGCAAACGAAAAUGGAGCCUAUCAUUUACAAAAGCUAGAUGGCACUCCGUUACUCAGACCAUGGAAUGUGUCCAAUUUAAAGCAGUACUAUCAGUAAAAAGUAUACACAAGUGCAAAUGAGAAAGAAAUAUAUNNNNNNNNNNNNNNNNNNNNNNNNNNNNNNNNNNNNNNNNNNNNNNNNNNNNNNNNNNNNNNNNNNNNNNNNNNNNNNNNNNNNNNNNNNNNNNNNNNNNNNNNNNNNNNNNNNNNNNNNNNNNNNNNNNNNNNNNNNNNNNNNNNNNNNNNNNNNNNNNNNNNNNNNNNNNNNNNNNNNNNNNNNNNNNNNNNNNNNNNNNNNNNNNNNNNNNNNNNNNNNNNNNNNNNNNNNNNNNNNNNNNNNNNNNNNNNNNNNNNNNNNNNNNNNNNNNNNNNNNNNNNNNNNNNNNNNNNNNNNNNNNNNNNNNNNNNNNNNNNNNNNNNNNNNNNNNNNNNNNNNNNNNNNNNNNNNNNNNNNNNNNNNNNNNNNNNNNNNNNNNNNNNNNNNNNNNNNNNNNNNNNNNNNNNNNNNNNNNNNNNNNNNNNNNNNNNNNNNNNNNNNNNNNNNNNNNNNNNNNNNNNNNNNNNNNNNNNNNNNNNNNNNNNNNNNNNNNNNNNNNNNNNNNNNNNNNNNNNNNNNNNNNNNNNNNNNNNNNNNNNNNNNNNNNNNNNNNNNNNNNNNNNNNNNNNNNNNNNNNNNNNNNNNNNNNNNNNNNNNNNNNNNNNNNNNNNNNNNNNNNNNNNNNNNNNNNNNNNNNNNNNNNNNNNNNNNNNNNNNNNNNNNNNNNNNNNNNNNNNNNNNNNNNNNNNNNNNNNNNNNNNNNNNNNNNNNNNNNNNNNNNNNNNNNNNNNNNNNNNNNNNNNNNNNNNNNNNNNNNNNNNNNNNNNNNNNNNNNNNNNNNNNNNNNNNNNNNNNNNNNNNNNNNNNNNNNNNNNNNNNNNNNNNNNNNNNNNNNNNNNNNNNNNNNNNNNNNNNNNNNNNNNNNNNNNNNNNNNNUCCACUUGCUGCUGGUAGUCCGCUGCAAGUUCCUCCCUUUCCGCAGCAAACUCCCGUUCAAGUUCCUCUUUUUGCACAUCCAGGCGCAGCUGCAAGUCUUCCUUCUGUUUCUUUUCAUUCGAUACCUCGGUCCGGAGUUGACUCACUUCAUCCCUCAGCCGGGCUGCCUCACCCUCCACCUCAUGUAGGCGACCCGCAGUUGAUUCUUCGCGACUCUUCGCCUCAGCCAGCUCCGCUCGGAGGGCUUCAUUUUCCUCUCGCAUGGUGGAUAAAUUGGCCUCAGCCUCCUCCAUUCUCAGACGCAGCUGAUUUUCAAUCUCUUGGCGCCGAGAGGAGAAGGUCCUCAUAUAGUCUGCAGUCUGCAGCAACUGAGUAAAAAGAUCGUGUUGUUGAGACAUGCUGCGGAGGCCCCUCACCAGCUGACACGCAAACAAGAAAAGCAAAAACAUAAAUCAUACUACAACAAACACAUCAGUGCAACAAAAAAUCAAAAAGCAAAAACACAAGACAACGGUGUACCGUUUCUAUCAUAUCAAACAUCUUAGCAGAGGGCUUGAUGGCUUUCCAGUCAGGAGUAAUCUGCUUUAACUUAACUUCCAACUCCGCGUAGCUGAAAGGGCUAGCAGGAGCGGCAUCGUCAGCAGAUUCCUCCUCAGAGGAGGAAGCAGAAGGUAACUCUUGUCCCGGAAUCGGAACCCCCAUAUCUUCGUUCGGACACAUAGGUCCGGAUUCAUCCUCAGCCGGAAUUAUUGCCUGGGCGGCUGAGGUCUCAGUAGCCAUCUCCACCUCGCCUCCAUCCGGAUGAACGUCAUGGGCAGAAGCGCAGCUAAUUUCAAUCUCUUGCUGCCGCUCUUGAAGCCGCUCAAAGAGUCCGGACUGUAGAUUGCGCGUCAAACGCGGCUUCUUGAGAGGAGGCCCUUUCACCAGGACGAUGGCCAGGCGAUCCGGGUCGUCGGAAGGCUGACUUUGGCUUUUUGCCCCCGCUUCCUCCAACGGGGCCGUUUCAGCUACAUCAGCAUCCGGAUUAAGGUUGCCCGGAUGGUUGAUAGAUGCAGCUUCCUCAGCCACGUUAGCCAGACGCGCAGCCGCGACUAAGGAAGGACCCGAAUGAUUCAACCCCGACAUGCGUCCGGGGCCGCUUGAGAUAGAGUGCGGAGCAGCAUUUACUGGCUCCUCUAUCAUUACUUCCCCCUCAUAGGUAGUUUGUGGAGGAGGGAACUCCUUGGGAGGAGUGGGUUCCUUCACAUCCUUCCCAUGCUUCUUCACUAGCUUCCCCCUCUUGCCUGGAAUUUUCUUUGAAGGAGGGUCCGGCCCCCCCUUCUGUCCGGGAGCCUUCCGGAUAGUGCCUUCAGUUUUUUUCUGAUCUCUAUCCUCCAGGAGCUUUCGCCGCCUUUCAGCGUCAGCCUCUUUAGCUUCCUGAUAGAGGGGGAGCUCCUUCACUGUAUAAUGCUCCCCAGGCACUAUCUCAUCCUUUGCCAGUUUCCUAGGAAGAAUAUUGAUAACAUAUUCCUGGGGCUCCCGGACGACCUCUAUCAAAUUCAGCGCGGAAAGCAAUGUUUUGUAGGCCCUCUCCUUGGGAUCUAUUUCGAAUAAUUUGCAGACGCAGGCAAAGGACGCCUUUUCCACCCAAUCCACAAGGUGGCCCCUCAAUUCCAGACCUGCAUUAACAGCAACAAAAGGUGAGAAUUCCGUCCGGAAAAAUCAAAAAAAUCAGCAAAGCAAAAUCCGGACAAAAAAUCGCAAAACAAGAUUACCCGGAAUUUUUAAGGUAUAAUUUGGAGAAAAAGGCCUCGACGGAUUCUGCGAUAGCCCCGCCCAUCCACCCCGGACUGCCACCAGCCCCCUCGCCCCUUCCUUUGUCGAAUCUGGCAGCUCUGUUACCAUUUGAAGGGAUGGCAGGUGCGCGGACACACUGAAGAUAUCAGUCUUUGCUUUCUUCAGGGAAUAGACAAAGAACACUUCCAGUAGCGUCAGGUCGAGGCUGUACAGCAUGUUGAUGAUGCUGCAUCCCAUCAGCACCCGGACAAGGUUGGGAUGAAUAAAGAUGGGGGGAAUCUGAGAGAAGUGGAGGAAUUCCUUGAACAACGCCGGCAGAGGGAACCGGAGCCCCGCGUUGAAUUGUUCCUUUGUGAAGAGGAUAACGUUUUCUCCACCUUUCUCAGUAGGCAUAGCCGCCUCCUCGUUCACCAAGUCUAUCAAUACGUCAUGGGGGAUGCGGAAUCGCUCCCGGAACUCCUUCGCAUUUAAUUUGUCUAUCGCCUUUUCGCUAGCUUCGCUAACCCGGACAGAUGAAACAAUCUUUUUUGGAGCCAUUUCGUACCACAAAGCUAAACCACAACCUACAUACAAAAGCAAUGCAACGGUUCAAACCAAGCAGUUAGAAAAUACACAAACCCUAACCCAAAGCAGUCAGAAAAACCCCUCAAAACCCCCCCCCCCCCCCCGAACACCAACAAAAUACCAACAUUCAACAACAAUUGCAAGCGACCUGUCCAAAACAAUGCCCAAGCAAGCCAAAAACCAAGAUUAAAGAACCAGCAAACGCAACCAAAGGAGUGACAGUAGCAAAGACGUACGUACCAAAUAAAGCUCCGAAGAAGAAGAACGGUUACUGCCUCGAUACAAAAUUACCAGCAGCAAACAGACAAAGUCGCGAUACAAAAACACCGGUGCAAAAGAGCUUUCGAAGUUUGUCUCAGAGAAGCAAAGGGCGCAGAAAAAGCAGUAAGAAGAAAGGCUCUCAAGAGAAUGCAGUAGGAAAAAUUGCAAAAAGAGGUACAGUGCCCUAUUUAUAGCAGGACAGCCCCUCGGAAAGGCAAACCAACAGCCAUGAUAUCAUUGAAACGACAUAUUGCCUGGGGAUACACAGGGUCGGCGGCUCGUCAUAAAUGCCUUUUUUGGCUUCCGCACCCCCACUCGCCACGUGGCCCAGUCAAACGAAGGGACCUCUUCAAAUUUCAAAAGCCAGUUAUUUUUAACCCGCCCAUUUUUUCAGGCAAAAUAGGCAAGUUAAAAAGGGGGGCAAUGUAGGGACCCCUCCCCUUGAGAAACACGUGGCACGCAGUUCAUGGUGACGCGUGGCACAUAUUAUCAUCCGAACCAUCAUCAUCCGGAUUCCCCUAAAGGUAUGCAUGGUGCAGUUAUCCUAUCCGGACCACCUCAAGGAAAGCCAAGCCCUAUCCAAGGAAGAGCAAACGACGCAGGCAGAGCGUAGACAUCCGGAUGGUCUCCACAACACAUCCGGAUGAUCAGCAUGAGCCAUCCGGAUAUAAAUCGUCUGGAUGGUCAAUUAAAGUAAAGCGAGUCUUACACGCAAUCACAACAAGCAGCCAUGACCCACAUCCCAUCACCUGCAGAGUGAGAAGACAAGGGGAAGUGACAGCAAGUCACUUCCCACGAUCAUUCUACAUAAUCACUGCCCACGAUCUCUGACAGCCGCAUCACCUACCAUGGUUUCUGACGGUCGUUCGUAGGGCGAUAAUGCUCCUACUAACACCUAUUGUCAUCAUCACAACAUAAAAUAUCUCCUCACCAUUAAUGAGAGGAACAGUACCCCUGAAGCUGUAUAUAUAUACCUUCGCACGAAGAAGAAAGGGAUCCCCUGGUAACCUCUUGAUACCUAGUAAAAGGCCAACUGAUUUAUAUAUCUCUCUCUCACCAUGGCUAACAAAACCAUCGGAGGGUGCGUCCGGACACCCUGUCCGGAUGCCUUUUGCAGGUGCAACCAUUGAAUCAAGAACCCCUUGUGUGUUGAGAAUCACGUGUCCAUCCAUAUAGCAGCAACGUGGACCACCGGAUACGCGAGGCGACAACACUUAUGAUGAUGGAGAGAGCCUGUACAUAGCUGAAAAAACAUAGAUUGCACCAAAUUGAAGGAAAGAUGUCUGCAUGUGGUAAACUGGAAGCUACAGUUUUCUUUUACAGGCUGGCCCACCAUUGGUUCACUUGAUUUAUCCCUCGAGGCAGCCAAUAAAUAUUUGCAAGGCCCAACAUUUCUGAUAAAAGAAUAAAUCCAUUCUUACGAAUCUUACCCCACAUGCAUGUCACUUCCUUAUGCAUGGUCACCCUUCGAUGCAACUCCUCAUGCACAUGUUCCCACCAACCAUAGUCCACACUUUUCACCUAUUUCUUUGCCCAGUCCUUUGUCUCUACCUCUCCACCAUCGCUUACCAGUCCAAAUGCAUUCCACCACAAUCUCUGAUCUCCACACAACCCUCCCAAGUCUCCAUCAAAGUCUCAGAUUUCCGUCAUUUCCCGAGAAUCCACCGAUCAAACAGCACAGGGAAAGUCCAGACAGCAUGCUAAGGCUGAUAAACUCAAUGUUAAAUACAGAAGAGAAGAGGGUAAAGAUGAGUGAUGCUAUGUUGUCUGCUUAUGAUAGAGAGCUUUACCAAAGUAAGCCAUUGCGCCAAUGGGGAGGAGGGCCCUUGAUAUUACUGGAUGUUGAGUCAUUGGGUAGGAAUUGCGGCACAUCUUGUACUGUAGAUGGAAUGCAUUAUGAUGGGACUGUUUAUGAAGCUGUUGUCCAUGUCAUGCUAAAUGGAUUGCUUAUUGAAUCUCAUCAAAAGCUUUGAAGGAAUCCAAAUAUCUUCAGUGUUUAACUGAAUCCCAUCGCCUAUGAAACUGGUUGAAUGAGUCCUCACUGUACUAAAUAGCUUUUUGGCUUUUGCAAGAGGUCGAAUUCUUCCCUCUUAUAUAUAGCAUCAUCGACUUCCGCCGGGUUUUUCCCCGGGCUUCUAGAUGUUCAUGCAAGUGACAGAGCAGGAGGGAGCAGUCCUCUGAAAGGGGAUUUGUUUGUGAUUGUUGGGUCUAUCCUCUAUGUUGCCAGCAAUGUUAGUGAGAUUUUGUGAAAGGCAUCCACACGUUUUGAUGAAUUAGGGCAACCAUACCUUGCAAAGAAGAUGACAACAAGCUCUCGCUUUUAGGAUGUCUCAGGAUUUUCUUUUAGAACAUGCAGCAUAUAAAGCAUCAGAUUUGAAGGAUUAAGAGUGUUCUAACAGCAGCCCCUCUUACACAGUGGGAGGUAAGUUCUCUUUUUAAAUUCUUGUUUUAGUUUAGCUUAAUUUGUUCUAUUAGUUUAGGUCCAUUUAUGAUUUUUCAUCAUUAAUUUAAUCGAUCCUUGGUGUUAUAGUUCAUGCUUUGAUUUGGUUUGAUCCCAUUCUUUUAGUUUGAGUAUUUCUUAUAUUUUUGGUAAAUUGGCUCCUAGGUGAUGCAGUUUUUAUUUUGAAAUUUGUCUUGAUUUAUCUUAAUUCGUUUUAGUUAGUUUAGAUUUUUUUCAUUAUAGUGCACUGUACUUCUACAUCUGUAAAUUAAAAUCUGACAACUUAGAAACCCUUUUAAAUUUUCCUAACUAUUCUAUGACUUUCUAGACUCCUUGAACUUGAUUUUAGAAUCUUUUUUGGGUCAAAUGUGGUUUUCCAAUUAGGAGAUAUAUAUCAAUUUUUCAGAAUGUUCAGUUUUCACUCUAUUUUUGACACUCAGUCUUGUUUUACAAAAUUAAAUUACUAAACGAUCUCUUUAAUUUCUUUGAACAUUUUUCUAUUAAUCUAGACCUCUUAAAUUUAAUUUUUGAUGCAUAAAAUAUUAAUAAAUAAUUUAUAAAAUAAAAGAUAUAAUUUUUUUUAUUCUUGUACCCAUUGCAUGAGUGCUCUUCUAGAUCUGAGAUAUGUUUAUUUAUUUUUAAAUAUCUAAUGAAUGUGUUAUCUCUUGAGACUAUUUUUAAUAUAAAAUAAACACAUUAAGAUAGUUGUGUGAAUUUUCGUAUGAUUUUAGGACAUCUAUAAGUUAAUUGUAAAAAUCAAUUGUUGAAUACCUUAAAAAGAUGCGCAAUUCAUGACCUAUUAUCAUCAUUAUGAAAUAUGGUACUAAAUGAGGGCUCGUUAAUUAAUUUGGUCACUUAGAUGAUAAAUAGACAUAUAGGAGAUGUUUUCUAAAAAUUUUCUUGGUAAAACUUAACUUCUAGGUAUUUGUCUUAUAUUUAUUUUUUACAAACUUCUAUUCUAAUCAUUUGCUGACUUUUUUUGUGAAGUAACCCAUUUGUAAAUAAAUUUGUUAUUGAUUGGAAUAUAAUUGAUUAAUUUGGCCUAUUGGAUGUUUAUCUAGACAUGUUAAAGAUGUUACCUAUUUUUUAUUUUGGUGAGAUAACCUUUCUUGAUAUUUAUUUAGAGUUUAUUUUGUGAAUCGAUAUUAUACCCUUUUAAUGAUAUUUCCUUGGCUUUUGAUAAUUUAGUCACUUUUGAUCAUACUUGUGAACUUUCCUUGACUUGAGACAUGCUAAGUGUACAUAUAUAGGUUUAGUUAUUUUUUAUUUAUUAUUCUUUAAUAUUAUCAUUAUUAGUGGUGAAUUAACCUCAUUUUUAUAGAAUCAUUGACGCUUGCUACAUAGGUACGCUCUCUAUCUUCCCAUUUUAAAGUUCUAUGAAUAUGUAUGUCAUUAAGAACUAUAUCCUUGUUUGAUAUUGACUUUGGAUGAGUUGAUGUUCAUUUGGUUUUCUUUGAUAAAAUGCAUGUUAAGUAAUAUAAUACUUGAACUAACUUUGGUGUUUUAUGAUAGCAUUUAAGUUAUAGAUUUAGGUAUGCAUAUUAUCCUUUCUUUAUGAUAGUGGUUUGAAUCCUUGUUUGACAUGGUAGAAUUAGUAGAGUGUUUGAAAUCACCUUAACUUAUCUAGGUAUUCGUAAUCAACUGAUUAAUUAUCAUAUUUCCCUCAACUAAGCUAGUAAAGACCUUGUUAGGGCUUAGAGGGGUGCUACCUCUUUGGAGGUACCUUCCUGAUAAGUAACCUGAUCCCCGGACCCUGACUCAGGUUUUUCGUAGAUAGUUUUUUCAAAAAAAAUAAAGAGUCCUUUUAGGGGUUUUAAUUUUGUUCUUACUAGUUUUCCCCUUUAAAAAUAAACAAAAGUAAGUGGUGACUUCAACUCUUUAUAAAAAUCAGUUUUUCACUUUAAUCAAAAGUGAGUCUCACCAAUCGAGUGGGAACGCAUCGUGAAAAAUACGGGAUCCACACUCGUAACUCUGAGUCUUUUGCUUGUUGAAAAGACUUAGGGCUUGUUCCAUCAUUUCGAAUUAAUCGUGACUGAUGGUUUUUUAAUGUUGUUUUUGGAGUUUACUCAUUAACAACACAAAAGGUUGUUAAUGAUGGAACAACACAAAAGGUUUUUUGAGCGGUUCUACCAGAAUCGACUCCCUUUUCGCGCCCCCAAAAUAAAUUAAAUACAUGAUAUUCACAUGGGGUUGUAGCCUUUUGAGAUAAUGUUAAGGGUUGGUAAUUAUUUUUUUUUUGAAUGUCAAUUUGACAUUUUCAUGUAUGUUAUAAGAUGUGGACCUUAAGUAGGUGCUUAUUUUAGACAAACAUGUUUUGGGUACUUAAUUACAAUUGGAUGUAUUUUGAAUGACAUACAUUUCGGGGGUGCUCAUUUUUUUGGUUAGUGGCCCUCGUAGCUCUAAGUCUUUUGCUUGUUGAAAAGACUUAGAGCUUAUUCCAUUAUUUCAAAUUAAUUGCGACUGAUGGUUUUUUUUAACGUUGUUUUCGGAGUUUAAUCAUUAACAACACAAAAGGUUUUUAAUGAUGAAACAAUAUAAAAGGUUUUCAGAGCGAUUAUACCAUAAUCGACUCCCCUUUCGCGCCCCAAAAAUAAAUUAAAUAUGUGAUAUUCAAAUGGGGUUGUAGCCUUUUGGGAUAAUGUUAGGGGUUGGUAAUUAUUAUUUUUUUUUGAAUUUCAGUUUGACAUUUUCAUGUAUGUUAUAAGAUGUGGACCUUAAGUAAGUGCUUAUUUUAGACAAACAUGUUUUAGGUACUUGAUUAUAGUUGGAUGUAUUUUGAAUGACAUAUGUUUCGGGAGUGCUAUUUUUUGGCAACGUUAGUGCCCCUCGCAACUCUGAGUCUUUUGCUUGUUGAAAAGACUUAGGGCUUGUUCCAUCAUUUUGAAUUAAUUGCGACCGAUGAUUUUUUAAUGUUGUUUUCAAAGUUUAAUCAUUAACAACACAAAAGGUUGUUAAUGAUGGAACAACACAAAAGGUUUCCGGAGCAGUUCUACCAUAAUCGACUCCCUUUUCAUGCCCCCAAAAUAAAUUAAAGACAUGAUAUUCACAUAGGGUUGUAGCCUUUUAGGAUAAUGUUAAAGGUUGGUAAUAAUUUCAAUGCAGUCAUUUCAAAUAAAAAUACCAAUAUAUAUAUAUAUUAUAUAUGUUGAUUCAAGUGCAUGGAAUCCAAGUUUGAUGCCCCGUGGAGUGUAAAAAUUCCUUCUUCUUUUUUCCUGUUGAUCAUAUAGAAAACAUGUACUAUUCAAAACGAUAAGAUAAUAUAAUUUGAGAAAUAUUAGAGUAUGUCUGAUAAUGAUUUUAGAAAGUAUUUGUAAUAUUUUUAAUAUUUUAAAAUUUUUAUCUUUUAAGGAUUAAAAAGAUUAGAAACACUUCUUAAAAUCAUUAUCAAAAGAGUAUGCUUCAUAAUGAUUAUAGGAAACACUUUUAACCUUUUUAACACUUAGAAAAUUUUUAUCUUUCAAAAUGUUAAAAGGACUAAAAACACUUCCUAAAAUCACUUCUAAAGAAGCUCUUAAUUUCUAAGUGAUAUAAGAGUUUACCAAAUCAACAUUAAUGUUAUAUGAAAAAUACAAUACAAUACCAUAAUUAGAAGUAAUAACAUCAUUUUAACCAAUUCAAAAUUGUUGUGAAAUUAUUCCAGGUGUCAUUUGAGUACACUUUUAUUAUUUUUAAACAUUAAAAUUUUUAACUUUUUUAUAAAUAUUCAACAUGUUUUGUAAUUUUAAUUCUAUUUUUUAUUUAAAAAAUAAAUAAAAACAUGUUCGUGGUUAUAUGAACGAGUUGAAAAAAAACAAUCUUUGGUGAUUUUCAAAUAAUUUUUUCAUAAAUUUCAAUAAUUUCUUAAUAUUUAAAUGUGAGACGGAGGUACUUGUUUCAUAAAAAAAGAAUAAAUAAUAUUUAAUUUCUCACCCUAAAUUUUCUAAAAAUAAAUAAUAUUUAUUUCAUAAAAAAUUGGAAUAGGAGAAGGGGUUUAUGCAACAUCUAUUUCUUUUUUCCUUUCUCUUUUGCUAUCAAAUAUUUUUAAACAUAAAAAGUAAAAACCUAUAACCAAACAUAAUUUUAAAAAUUAUUUUCAACUUUUUAAUUAAAAAAAUGCAACCAAAAAAUACCUUUAAUAAUUUUAAGAUUUCAAUAAAUCCACAGUAAAAAAGAAAAAAAAAAUUACAAAGUAAAUUUUGAGCCCAUCAGUAAAUUUGUUAAAAAUCUUAAAGAUAUUGGAAUGAUUAUAAUAAUUUGGAUAUAUUUUAUUAAUAAAUAUUCUAUCCAAUCCAUGCAUGAUUCAUUUUAGUCCGGUUGAUUAGCUUAGCAUACUGCGCUCUCACCCGAGAGACCAGGGUUCAAGUCCCGGCAACGGAAAUCGCUUUUUGUUGGGCUUACUUUGUGAUGUCUAUGUUCCAUUUUGAUCAAGUUUGUUGGGCCUAGUUGAUGUGUUCUAUUUUUUGUUUUCCAUUAACAUUUUAUGCUUAAAGGCCCAUUACUCUUUGAUGUCUAUGUUCCAUUUUGAUAUGUUUGUUAGGCCCAGCUGAUGAGUUCCAUUUUGUUUUCUAUUAACAUUUUAUGCUUAAAGGCCCAUUACUUUUUCUUGUAAGCAUUUUUACUACACCAUGAUUGAUGCUUAAAGCAUGUUUGAAUUUUCUCAUAAUUAAAAAAACAACUUAGCUUAAAAUAAAAUAAAAAAAGAUUUAAAAGUGCAAUAAAUUUAUUUGAAAGCACUUUUGGUUAAUUAAAAAAUAUAUAUAUUUAAUAAAAAUUUUAUAUUAUCAAAAUUAUUCAUUUAUACAUUUUUAUGGGGCUUUUUUUUUUUUCUUUUUUUUUUUUAAUUUGGUCAAACCUUUUAAUGUUUGAAUUGACUUUUGUAAUUCAUAUUUAAGAUCCAAACUCCAUUUGAAUUGGUUUAAGUUUUCUAUUCAAAAAGUUUGAAAAAAAUCAUAAAAACUUGUGGGUCAAUGACAAUCAAACCUGGACGCUGCAAGUGUCACAUGGGUUGACUACAACUAUUAGACCAUAUAUAAAUUUAUAAAUAAAAUUUUUAAUAUUUUUAUAUCGUAUCUUUCAUAUUCGUCCAUAUAUGCAAACUAAAUAUAUUAUAAUUUUAAAUUUAAUGUGUUUUCAAAUUUUAUACAUUAUCACAAAAUAUAAUAAAAUAUAUUAUUCAUAUAUUAUUAUUUUUAAACAUAAUUAUAUAUAUUAUUUCUUAUUUUAUCAUUUGUUAAAGUUUUAUUUAAUAUUUCUGUGAGUUUUAUCCAUUUUUGUUUUAUCUAUAUUUUUUAUUUGAUAUAUCCAUACAAUCUAACUCUUGAUAUAUUCAUGAAAACCGAUGUUUUUAUCUUUAGUGAGUUUAUUCCUUUUUAACUUGGAUAUAUAAUUAUACACGUAAAAACUAUUUUUGUCACUCAAUUGUGGUUUUGUUAGAGUAUUGGUGAACUCACGAGAUAAGGAAACUCUUCUUCUUUAGUUCGAGGUCUCAAGAAUACAAACUUUAGGAUCAAUCUCUCGGUGUCAUGUGCCAUGGAGAAGUAUACAAAAGGUGGUUCAAAUUUGAGAAAGGUAGUUUGCGUUAGCAUGAACAUAAGCAUUAUGAAAGGAAUAUGAGCCAAACCCUGAGUUCUUUGAGAAGAUGAACCCCCAUGAUUGAAUGAUCAGAUGGCAUAUGGCCAAGAAGUAAUAUUAUAUAAUAAUAAAUCUAUUAUAAAAGGGGACUUUUCUAGUCAUAGCAAGGUCCAUUAAAUUUUAGGAUUCAUCUAUCUUUACAUAAGACUGACUCCUUCUUCAAGGUUAUUAACAUUUGCUUUCAAUGAUAUUAUUUAUCUUUUUCAUUCUUUGAUUUCUCUUUUCAUUUCAGAUAUUUUAAUUGGGUCAAUUUCGUUUGCCUCCUCCAAGGUUUUGGCUAAAUACAUUUAGUUCCUAUAGAUUUGAAAUUUUAUCAAAUAUCUCACUUAUUUUGAAUGAGAUGAGAUGAUGAGAAUCAACAAGCAUUCAAGGAUCCAUUGCAUGUUCCAGUUGGGCUUAUUACUAAAGCAAGAUCCAAGAAGAUCAAAGAAGCACAUAAUGGGCUAAUUCAAGAGAUUUAGGUUGAUUCUAAUGCAGGACAUUCCAAGCCUGGCCCAAAGGAAGAUGAAGGUGUAAUAAAUUUAAUCCAAGCUAUUGAUGGCUAAUCUGGCUUGAUUGGGUGUGAUUUAUGGCGUGGAUUAAUGACUGAUUAUCUUUCCAACUCCAUAUGAAUUAAUAGACAUUUUUCCUAUUCUAGAGCUUCUAAUUUCAGGCCAAAUCUACCUUAAUUUUAAGCUUUUAUUAUUUAGAAUAUUUUUUUUAUAGCUAUUUUCCUAUUUUGGAUCUACUAAUUUCAGACCAAAUCAACUUUUAUUUAGGGUUUUAAUAUUUAGUAAGUUUUUUUGUCAUGAGAUAUAAAUAGCAUGCACUCAUUGUAAUAGGGGAUAAUUUUGAUUGAAUAAAAAAUAAGAAAAUGUGAGGCUUUGCUUUUUUUUUUUUUUGUUCUUCAAGAACUGUGAACUUAUCAGGGAAUCUUCCUUAUGGCGUUCAAACUUUAUACCUUCGGUUCGUGAUUCCAUUGUAAUCAUUGGGUCAAGGUCUGUUACUUAUACUUUUGGUUCGCGUUUCACUUAUAAACGUUGGGUCAGGGUUCUAUAAAAAAAAUUUUAUUUUAGCUUUCUUGGGCAAUUAUUCCAAUACCGUUUGUUGGGUCUCAAAGCCUGUCGAUUGAGGUUCGCAUCAUUUGGUAUAAGAGCACAGGUUCUAAAAUAAGUUUUCUAUCCCUUUAUCUUUUGUUUCAUGUUAUCAACCUAUCUUGUUCCUUUUGUGUUCUUUAUUCCUCGUUCUUAUUUUUUUUGACGUACACUAAGUUAAAAUCGUGCACCAAGCUCCAAAAAAAAAAAAAAAAAAAAAAGACUUUAGAAAAGAAAUAGAAAACAACAAAAUAUAUAUGUAUAUUGUGUGUAGUUUCAAUUCUCUCAAAUCAAAAUAUUAUUUUCUUUUGUCCUCUUCCUUUGAUUUAGUGUUUCUAUCAUAUUUUCUUGUCAUUGGUAUUAGUUUAAAUACUACAAGUUGAAUUUCUUGAUCAAGUUUAUUAGUUUAAGCAUAACUGAAAAGAGAAAGCUAUGAGUGGAAAAGGCAAGAGAGUGUGAGACUAAUAUCGGGAAAAAGCCAAUUUAAGAGUGAAACACGAGUGUGAGUGCAAACACGUGAGAGAGUGUUGUGAGGAAUUAUUUCUAACAUUUUUUUGUAGUUUAAAAAAUAUUUCUUCCAGGGGCUAAACAUCAAAUAAGAAAGGAGGGGAGGAGUCAUUCCUCAUGUUGCAGCCUAUGCAACAACAGUUUGAACGCAUGAACGUGGUGUUUAAUGAUAUUCAGGAUCGGAUGGAUAGGCAAGACGUUGUUAUCGCUUCUUUGCGUGAGGAGCGUACCCAAAGAGCCCCUAAUGCUAGAAGACAAGGAAGGCAUGCACGCGUUGAUGAUUCUGAUGACUACCAUGAGGAUGAGUUUGAAGAUGAAGAGGAUCAAGCUUCAUUGAACCAUGAAGGCAGGUUUGCGCCAAGGGGAGAAAGGCGUGGUAGAGGUUUCCGAAGAGCUCCAAGAUGGCAAGAUGGGACUGAUAGAAACCUAGGAAACAUCAAAAUAAAGAUACCAUCGUUCCAAGGGAAAAAUGAUCCAAAAGUGUACUUGGAGUGGGAGAAGAAGGUGGAGUUCAUAUUUGAGUGCCGUAACUACUCCGAGGAGAAAAAUGUAAAACUAGCUGUGAUUGAGUUUACUGACUAUGCUAUUUAUGGUGGGAUCAACUUGUGAUGAACAGAAGAAGAAACUAUGAGAGGCCUAUUGAGACAUGGGAGGAAAUGAAAGCCACCAUGAGAAGACGGUUUGUCCCUAGUCACUACUAUAGGGACUUGUAUUAGAAAUUACAGAGUCUUACUCAUGACUAUAGGAGCGUGGAUGACUAUCACAAGGAGAUGAAGAUUGCCAUGAUUUGGGCUAAUGUAGAAAAUGAUAGAAAAGCUACUAUGGCAAGGUUUCUAAAUGGGCUGAAUCGGGACAUUACCAACGUGGUGGAGUUACAACACUAUGUGGAGUUGGAGGACAUGGUGCACAUGACAAUAAAGGUGGAACGACAACUUAAAAAGGAAAGGAACUCGGUUAUUUCAAAAUCCCGACUUCUCUGCUUCAUGGACGCCUAAUGGGAGGAAAGAUGAAGGGGUUGUUUUCAAGUCCAAAACCGAACCACCAAAAAUGAGAGAUGAAGCUCCCAAUGUCAACAAAGGUAAAAUGAAUCCCAAACUCGUAAUCGUGAUAUUAAGUGUUUUCGUUGUUUGAGAGUAGGUCAUAUAGCUUCACAAUGCCCAAAUAAGAGGACCAUGAUCGCACGUGUUGAUGGAGAGGUGGAAACUGAAAGUGAGAAAGAUGAUGACCAAAUGCCAUUGAUUCGUGCCCAAUUGGUGUUUCAGCUGAUUCGUGUCCAGCUGGUGCUCCUUGAUUGAGGGAGUAAUCAACAAAAUUUAUAACCUAUUACAUCAUAUACUAGGGUAGCAAAGACAAAGCUACUAUAGCAUAGUGGCUCUAGGAUCGUUCACUGGGAUGGGUUUUCACUUUGCAAAUGAUAUUAAUUCAAAGCUGAAUUGGUGCCUUUUCAUUUCAAGGUUAGCUUUAAAAGAAAACAUAAAGAUGUUUGAAUGAAAAAGGUUUGGUUUUAAACUAACCACAAAUAGUAACUGAUUUUACUUACAAAGAAAAGUGUUUCUUGGAGUUUCAGAUCACUAGGCUCAGAUUCCUCAUACAAAAAGGGAGUUUCGGUCACUUGUUUCUUUUCCUCGCAUUAGAGAAUUAACAUAUAAUUAAUUCUCUAACCAGUGUUGUACAGAUGCUUCCCAUUAAUGGGUUCAAACACUAAAUCCCUCUCACUGAUGCACCUUGCAAUGACUCAUACCUCUCACCUAGCACUUGCCAUUCAAGGUGAUUUUUAACCUUGGAUUACCCGUCAAAAGCUCGCAAGAGAUAACUAAUGGAUGUCUCCGUGGAGUCCAAAAGCUUACCAAGUGUUGGCUAUUCUAGAAAAUCCUACCUUCAAACCACCUACCAAAGGCUCGCAAGGGGUAAACUAGUGCAUCUCCAUGGAUGGAGAUCACUUGCCUUACCAAGUGUUGGCCCAGGUGAUUUAAAGGCGUUUUAAGUUAACUAAAAAGAUAAAAACCAUUAACGGGUCACACUUUCUCUUCAUUAAAAACUGAAACAACAAAACUUCCAAUUUAUGCAUGCGGAAACUUACCCGGCUUUCCUCACUCCAAGAGACAAAGAGCCUAGCCUCUCAUCCUCUGAGGAAAAAUCCUUAGAGAAUGUUUGGCUAGCAAGAAAACUAACGAGAAAACAAGAAUAUAUAUGAAAAACAGAGCAAGUGCUCUGUUCGUUGAUUCUAUAUAUGAUAUAUCUAUAUAUUUCUAUAUAUCUAUUACAUACUUCUAUAUUUUCAUGAUGCUCCUGAGAACAAGCUCCCGAGAGCUAUAUAUAAAGAAAAUUACAAAACAAAAUAUCUGAGGUUAUUCACCCCUUUUCCAAACUUAAUAACUAAUGAAUCCUAUAAUUGGUGGCUUACAAGGAGAAAAUGGGGAUUUAGACAACAAAAAUCUGAAGAAAAAUAUCUCAAAGUGUCGGUUGCAAAUAUCGGGAAGCACUAAGGACCAUUUCACAGGAGAAAAUGAUGUCUGCGAGAUUUCUCAGCGGCACAAGAAGGGCUGCGAAAUCACUUCGCAGCAAAAGGCUAUUCUCGCAGGGCUGCGAAGUUGGCUUUCAUCUUGAGGUUAUCAGAUUCCAACGUGCGGCAAAUAUCGGGAAACUUCAAAGGGGGAAUCCACAACACUGUACAAAAAGGCUGCGAAAUCAUCUCGCAACAAAAUGAUGAUUUCGCAACACUUUGCAAAAUUCUUCUUUCAACUUGGAGUGAUCGGCUUGCAAUGGCUGUAACUCCUUCAUUUCAACUCCGAAUUGUGUACCGU